rnacentral:rRNA from 1 species
UACGUAGGGGGCGAGCGUUGUCCGGAGUUACUGGGCGUAAAGCGCACGCAGGCGGUCUGUUAAGUUUGGAGUGACAGUUGGUGGCUCAACCACCAAAGUGCUUUGAAAACCGAUAGACUUGAGGGCUUCAGAGGGACACGGAAUUCCGGGUGGAGUGGUGAAAUGCGUAGAGAUCCGGAGGAACACCAAAGGCGAAGGCAGUGUCCUGGGGAGUACCUGACGCUCAGGUGCGAAAGCCAGGGGAGCGAACGGG